GCAGUGAUGAUGUUGUUCGGCGGAUCGCCACUAGCAAUUGUCCAUGCUCUUAGCAGAAGAUCUAACUCUUUCUUUUCCCACCUUGGUGCCAUCUUCGUUUUGAAGUCCAGAGGGGGAGUAGAGGAAAGAGAGAGAGUGAAAGAUGGCGGG